rnacentral:rRNA from 1 species
UCACGAAGAACUCCGAUUGCGAAGGCAGCUUGCUGGACUGUAACUGACGCUGAGGCACGAAAGCGUGGGGAUCAAACAGGAUUAGAUACCNNGGUANNCCACNCCGUAAACGAUGAAUGCUAGCUGUUAGCGAUAUACUGUUAGCGGCACAGAGAAAUCGUUAAGCAUUCCACCUGGGGAGUACGCCGGCAACGGUGAAACUCAAAGGAAUUGACGGGGGCCCGCACAAGCGGAGGAACAUGUGGUUUAAUUCGAUGAUACGCGAGGAACCUUACCUGGGCUUAAAUUGCAGUGGAAUAACGUGGAAACAUGUUAGCCUUCGGGCCGCUGUGAAGGUGCUGCAUGGUUGUCGUCAGCUCGUGCCGUGAGGUGUCGGCUUAAGUGCCAUAACGAGCGCAACCCUCAUCGAUAGUUACUAACAGGUUAAGCUGAGGACUCUAUCGAGACUGCCGACGUAAGUCGUGAGGAAGGUGGGGAUGACGUCAAAUCAGCACGGCCCUUACGUCCAGGGCUACACACGUGUUACAAUGGGGGGUACAAAGGGCAGCUACCUGGCGACAGGAUGCUAAUCUCAAAAACCUCUCUCAGUUCGGAUUGGAGUCUGCAACCCGACUCCAUGAAGCUGGAUUCGCUAGUAAUCGCGCAUCAGCCACGGCGCGGUGAAUACGUUCCCGGGCCUUGUACACACCGCCCGUCAAGCCAUGGGAGCCGGGGGGACCUGAAGUAUGCAACCGUAAGGAGCGUCCUAGGGUAAAACUGGUGACUGGGGCU